rnacentral:rRNA from 1 species
UACAGAGGGUGCAAGCGUUAAUCGGAAUUACUGGGCGUAAAGCGCGCGUAGGCGGUUAUGUAAGUCAGGUGUGAAAGCCCAGGGCUCAACCUUGGAAUUGCAUUUGAGACUGCAUAGCUAGGGUGCGGAAGAGGGAAGCGGAAUUUCCGGUGUAGCGGUGAAAUGCGUAGAUAUCGGAAGGAACACCAGUGGCGAAAGCGGCUUCCUGGUCCAGCACCGACGUUCAGGCACGAAAGCGUGGGGAGCAAACAGG